rnacentral:tRNA from 1 species
AUUAGGAUAAGCUAAAAAAGCUAUUAGGUUCAUACCCUAAAAAUGGGUUGACCCUUCUAUUA